rnacentral:lncRNA from 1 species
UGACACUAUGACAUAGAUCGAGUGGUAUUUGAUAAAGUUAAUGUAAAAUGACACUAGAGAUAGUGUGAGGUAAAGAACCAAGGUAAUGUAAAGAAUGAUGAAAAUGAUAAUGUGUAAAGUUAAAGUAAAGUGGGGCAAUAAGAACAAGAAAAGUAACGAACAAGAAUGCUGGAGUUAGCAGAAGUAAAGAAAUGUAAAGAAUGUGAUUGCAUGAGUUUGCAACAUAAAGUGAUGUAAAGGACACUAGAGCUAGUGUAAAGUCAAG